GCACUAGUGGUCUAGUGGUAGAAUAGUACCCUGCCACGUUACAGACCCGGGUUUGAAACCCGACUGGUGCA
rnacentral:tRNA from 1 species